UUGAACGCUGGCGGCAGGCCUAACACAUGCAAGUCGAACGGUAACAGGAAACAGCUUGCUGUUUCGCUGACGAGUGGCGGACGGGUGAGUAAUGUCUGGGAAACUGCCUGAUGGAGGGGGAUAACUACUGGAAACGGAAGCUAAUACCGCAUAACGUCGCAAGACCAAAGAGGGGGACCUUCGGGCCUCUUGCCAUCGGAUGUGCCCAGAUGGGAUUAGCUAGUAGGUGGGGUAACGGCUCACCUAGGCGACGAUCCCUAGCUGGUCUGAGAGGAUGACCAGCCACACUGGAACUGAGACACGGUCCAGACUCCUACGGGAGGCAGCAGUGGGGAAUAUUGCACAAUGGGCGCAAGCCUGAUGCAGCCAUGCCGCGUGUAUGAAGAAGGCCUUCGGGUUGUAAAGUACUUUCAGCGGGGAUGAAGGGAGUAAAGUUAAUACCUUUGCUCAUUGACGUUACCCGCAGAAGAAGCACCGGCGAACUCCGU
rnacentral:rRNA from 1 species